AUACGUAGGUGGCGAGCGUUGUCCGGAAUUACUGGGCGUAAAGGAUGCGUAGGUGGAUACUUAAGUGGGAUGUGAAAUCCCCGGGCUCAACCCGGGAACUGCAUUCCAAACUGGGUAUCUAGAGUGCAGGAGAGGAAAGCGGAAUUCCUAGUGUAGCGGUGAAAUGCGUAGAUAUUAGGAGGAACACCAGUGGCGAAGGCGGCUUUCUGGACUGUAACUGACACUGAGGCAUGAAAGCGUGGGUAGCAAACAGGAUUAGAUACCCUGGUAGUCCACGCCGUAAACGAUGGGUACUAGGUGUAGGAGGUAUCGACCCCUUCUGUGCCGUCGUUAACACAAUAAGUCCCCCGCCUGGGGAGUACGGUCGCAAGACUAAAACUCAAAGGAAUUGACGGGG
rnacentral:rRNA from 1 species